rnacentral:pre_miRNA from 1 species
AUUGGGAUAGAUGGGUCAUAUGGUCAUUCCAUUGCUAAUUUUUUGAGGUGCUUUCAUAAUGCUUUCAAGAGUGGUUGAACCAAUUUGCAGUCCCACCAACAAU